GGUGGCCUUGUGGUUAGAGCGUCCGCCUAGGAUGCGGGUGGUUGUAGGUUCAAACCAAGUCAUACCAAAGACU